GACGAACGCUGGCGGCGUGCUUAACACAUGCAAGUCGAACGGAAAGGCCCUGCUUUUGUGGGGUGCUCGAGUGGCGAACGGGUGAGUAACACGUGAGUAACCUGCCCUUGACUUUGGGAUAACUUCAGGAAACUUGGGCUAAUACCGGAUAGGAGCUCCUGCUGCAUGGUGGGUGUUGGAAAGUUUCGGCGGUUGGGGAUGGACUCGCGGCUUAUCAGCUUGUUGGUGGGGUUGUGGCUUACCAAGGCUUUGACGGGUAGCCGGCCUGAGAGGGUGACCGGCCACAUUGGGACUGAGAUACGGCCCAGACUCCUACGGGAGGCAGCAGUGGGGAAUAUUGCACAAUGGGCGGAAGCCUGAUGCAGCAACGCCGCGUGCGGGAUGACGGCCUUCGGGUUGUAAACCGCUUUCGCCUGUGACGAAGCGUGAGUGACGGUAAUGGGUAAAGAAGCACCGGCUAACUACGUG
rnacentral:rRNA from 1 species